rnacentral:lncRNA from 1 species
UCAAUCAAUAUUCGAUUUGUUGGCAUUCGGUUAAAUCGAAUCGGAUACGCCCAUAAGCGGGUUCGAUCCGACGGUUGUUAUGUUAUCUAAUUAGAUUAGAAUUAAUUUCGCUUUCAAAUUAGAAAGUUAGUUAGAGAUAAAUCCUAAUUAUAUUAGGAUAACAAUUAAUAACCGAUUUGGCAUUAUUUCUAACGCUAUUAGAAUUUUGGAAUCCCUUAUAAAUAUGGGAGCGAUCCCACAUAACAAAAUAUGAACAAGAACAGAAAAAAAAAAAGAGAAUAAGAAAACGAAAAAGAGAAACUACAUCCUCCAUCAACCUAUUAAAAAAAAAGAGAAUAAAAAAACGAAAGAAAGAAACCACAUCUUCCAUCAACCUAUUAUUCUAAGAGGGACUUGAACGGUGGAUUUGUGAUCGUGCUCGUUUAUAGUUCGAUCCAUCACGAGUUUAGAACGUGAGAAGAUUUAAUUAAGAACGAUUAAAGGACACAUGAAUCAAUCUCGACGAUCCGGGCUCAUCGAGUUGUAACGCGAAUAGCUUCCGCAAAAAGGUACGAUCGAAUGCUUUCGCUGCGUUCUACACGAUUUAACCGAUUCGCACCAACUCAACCCACAAUUCCAUGAUUCG